AACAUGCACAAUAUCGAAGAAACUUAGAGAGAGAAAGUAGAGAGAAGGGAGAGCAUCGAAGAUUCUCGAAGAAGACUCAGAUAUUAUUUCUGAGAAAAUGACGCCUCGGUUAUUACAAACGACCCCUGACCCCUUAUAUCAAAAUAACCCCUUUUACAGAUAUAGCCUAUUUACAUGACUGGCCUAAUUGCAAGUAUAGCCUAUUUACACAACUAGUCUAAUUAUAGACAU
rnacentral:lncRNA from 1 species